GUGAGUGUCACGAAGUAAAUAAAAAGUUUAGGUAAUUUCUCAGUCUGCUCAUUUCAGACCUUUAGUCAUUUGUGUCAGUAUGGAAGAUUAAACACAGACAUUUGAUGCUUGGUCAAAAGUACGUGGACACCUGACCCUCACACCUUGUUGGACAUCUCACCAAGAACCAUGAGCAUUAAUAAGGAUACAUGUACCCCCCUCCUCGUUUAUAGCUCCACUCUUCUGGAAAGGCACUGAUGUUGAAUGAGAAGGCCUGGCUUGCAAUCAGUGUUCCAAUUCAUCCUGAAGGUGGAGCCUUAUUUUAGAGCAGGAAGUGAGACUGCAUCCCUGUCCUUCAUGGCCACACGAUGAGCGAUUAGAUGUCACUGGGACACAUUUAUUUCAAAACAAAGUCUGAAAAUCAGUGUGUAACAUUAAUUUGUCAUGAAUUAAAUAUAUAUGGCAUGUCAUCAGCAGGGCUCCGUAGUAUCUCAUGCUUUCCUCUGUGCAGUUUGAAAGAAGGCUUUACUGGG